AACAUUUUUCUUUCGGGGAUCAUUUCUGUAGUUCAUUACUAGAGAAGUUUUUCUGAAUGUGUAAAGCACUGGAAGUUAUGAAGAGAAGGUACUGCAUUCUCAUCCUGAAUGUGAAGCUGGCUCUUGAUGUUGAUCAUGCUUUUCUUCCUAUGGGAGAGAAAGAGGGAGAGGAUGCAGUUCAAGUGGU
rnacentral:snoRNA from 1 species